rfam:Desulfohalobium retbaense DSM 5692, complete genome.
UCCACCGCGAGGUGGGAUCUGAAGGAAGCCGCAGGCAAAACGCUGGCCUGACGAACAGGAAUCGCAUACGAGGCGGCCAUGCCGGGUAAGGAGUCCAUUAUCUUCAAAGCCCUGUACUUGUACGGAAAGCAUGGACGUAUAUGCGGCGGGCAUAAGCGUGAAGGUGGGUGCG